GAAGAAAACUGGGGGGGGUCCACCACCAGCAAACCUGAAGCCAUGUGAAGAUAAGAUCAUUUCUAUCCUGGAUGAUAGCAUGGUGGUUGGGAUAGAAGGUGGUUUUGACACCAGUGAAUGUGGAAGUUCAAGUAAAUGUAUUGAAUUCCCAGGAGCUUCAUCUCAUGCAGAAGCUCCCAGAACUCAGGAAAAGUAUAAACCUGCCCAGCAGAGUAUGUGUACUCUCCCCUCCUCAUCUGCUGAUGGUAAGUUCUUUAUUGUGAUCUAAAUUUUGUUUGGUAGUAUAGAAAUCAUUCAAAGUUUUACAAAAAGAAUUUUUUAGAAAUCAAUUGAAUAAAUGAAAU